UUAAUGUCUUUACUCUACUCAUCAACUCUCAUCUGAGGAACUUUGUUUCUAGUCUCGACGACAUUCCUAGGUGUCGACGACAUUCCUAGGCGGAGAUACGCCCACUUCCGGUUAUCUCACUGCUGAUUUCCUGGAGCUGCUAGAUUCCCUCAACCUACAACAACAUGUUGAUGUCCCCACACAUUCCAGGGUUCACACACUUGACUUGGUCAUUUCAAACUUCGCCCCCAUCAGUAAUCUACAGGUAUAUGAUCUUGGUAUCUCGGACCAUAAAGUAGUGUCAAUGGAGCUGGCCUUUCUCUCCGCCCCAUAUCAAACCAAAACGUCAGAUCCAUUUCAGAAAUCUGAAGACCAUCAAUGCAGAUGCCCUGGCCCUGGACCUUAAAUUUCUCUCCUCUGAACCUGUCAGCAGUGCAACAGCAGAGGUGCAACAUGCACAUCAAUUUCUUCAGACAAAAUGUUGAUAAUAUCCGUUCAUACCUCUCCAUCACGAAUAUCUUGCCUCCUCCAACUGUCGACCUACUACCUGAGAAGGUCCAGCCACUUUGCUCCUUCUCUGCUACCACACGGGAAGAGGUGGAGAACGUCAUCAGGAAAAUGAAACCAUCUACCAGUUCCCUGGACCCUUUCCCUUCAGCCCUGCUAAAGGUCAACAUCUCUGCCGUCUCUCCACUCAUCACCAGGAUCAUAAACCAAUCCCUCCUGACUGGCCAUAUUCCUUCUACUUUAAAAACUGCUGUCAUCAGACCUCUAUUGAAAAAACCCACCAUGGACUCUGAAGUUCUCUCUAACUAUGGGCCCAUCUCCAAUCUUCCAUGCCUCUCUAAAGUUCUGGAAAAAAAACAGUUGCAGCACAACUUCAUGAUCACCUCAAACUGAAUAACCUGUUUGAAAAAUUUCAGUCCGGUUUCCGCCCUGGCCAUAGCACAGAAACAGCCCUGGUCAAGGUCACCAAUGAUCUUCUGAUGACUGCAGAUACUGGUUCCCCUUCUAUACUCAUCCUCCUUGACCUGACAGCUGCUUUUGACACAAUAGACCAUAACAUCCUCUUUCACCGCCUGCAAUGCACCAUGGGACUCUCAGGAACUGUUCAUAACUGGUUCACGUCAUACCUAACUGGCAGAACCGAACAUGUCACCCUUAGCAGCGCAAAAUCUUACAUCCACAACGUCACCUGUGGUGUCCCACAGGGCUCUGUGCUUGGCCUCACUUGACACCAAGUCAAGUGUGUGACCCCUGGAAUGUGUGGGGACAUCAACAUGUUGUUGUUGUAGGUUGAGGGAAUCUAGCAGCUCCAGGAAAUCAGCAGUGAGAUAACCGGAAGUGGUCUUUACUCUACUCAUCAACUCUGAUCUGAGGAACUUUGUUUCUAGUGUCGACGACAUUCCUAGGGUGUGCAGGUCAGGAACGUUCUGGCCUCAUCCCAGCUCAUUCAGACUCAGCUAGCCACUGUUUGGAACCUGGCAGAUGUGGACAAGGACGGCCAGCUGACAGGGGAGGAGUUCAUCCUGGCUAUGCACCUGGUGGACAUGGCGAAGGCCGGACAGCCGCUGCCCCUCACGCUUCCCGG